GCAUUUUAGCAAAUCUCCGUGAUUGCUGGAGGUGCUCACGUUAUGACUUUUCCCUUUCUGAGGAGACAGUUUUUUGUUUUUCCUGCGCAGGUCGGCCGAGAAGGUCUGUGAAAGAUGAGGCCUCUGUGAGUCAAAUGCCUUCUUUCUAUUUUCUGGUUCCAUUUUUCUUGUUCACAACUCAGUGGCACUUGCAAAUGGAAGACUUGCUGAGGUAGCACCUGGCUGAUUAGCAACUUUUGCUUGGUCCCACUCGCACACUGACCGUUAAAUUACCUCCUAUCAUGCCUGGGCGGUGUGGUCGCCACUGGGAGGCCGGGGAGGUCACUUCAAUAUGGCUGACAUGUUCUGUGUUUUCCCACAGCACGUCACAUGUAACCAGCGCAGCGACUUUGACAGAGUACUACGGGAUGACCUGGUAGUCUUGGGUCAGAGUGAGAGAAAUUGGUGUUGUACUAAGAUAACAGGGUGCAAGGACCUGCGGAGAGAAUGGCUACAGCUGUUCUUGUUGGUCGGGCCAUAUAUUAUCGUUGGCGGCUUUGACAGCUUCUGAAGGAAAUGGCUGAGGGGUAUCAGGCAGGUGACUCAACUGUAAAAAUUUAUUGGAGGAUACAAACUGUUUCCAGGGGACCU
rnacentral:lncRNA from 1 species